CAGUCGCCACGGUAAUACAGAGGGUGCAAGCGUUAAUCGGAAUUACUGGGCGUAAAGCGCGCGUAGGUGGUGGUUUAAGUCCGUUGUGAAAGCCCUGGGCUCAACCUGGGAAUUGCAGUGGAUACUGGGUCACUAGAGUGUGGUAGAGGAUAGUGGAAUUUCCGGUGUAGCAGUGAAAUGCGUAGAGAUCGGAAGGAACAUCUGUGGCGAAGGCGACUAUCUGGGCCAACACUGACACUGAGGCACGAAAGCGUGGGGAGCAAACAGGAUUAGAUACCCCAGUAGUCCCUGUCUCUUAUAC
rnacentral:rRNA from 1 species